GCCAGUUUUGUCUAGUGGACAUGGCAUCUGCCCGGUAAGCGGAACACUGUGGGUUCGAUUCCCAUCCCUGGAGACU
rnacentral:tRNA from 1 species